rnacentral:tRNA from 1 species
GGGGACGUCGUCUAACCCGGCAGGAUUGGGGCCUCCAGAGCCUUAGGUCUGGGUUCAAAUCCCAGCGUCCCCA